AGUUAAGGGUUGUUGACAACGACUUUUUCCGGCGAUCGAUGAGGUUUUCCGUGACUUCUAGUGACAAGUUGGUCUUCUGAGUCGCAACUUUUGAAGUUCGUAAUCAUUGACGUUGUCAACGAUAGGGUUUAAGGGUGCGAGUGUUUGAACUUUUGGAGGUCGAGGAUAAGAGUCACAAGUUUGGAAAGACGGGUCUGACUCUUGCUGAAAUCGGUGUUAUUCUUCCGGACUCUCAUGGUAAUGCUAAGUGCAAGAGCAUUACUGGAAGCAAGCUUCUGCGUUUGUUAGGAAGAGGAAGGACAAACCGUUUGGUUGUUGUUGAGAGCAAGAUCGAGAGGAUUGCUCCCUAGAGCAAUGAAAAAAAAAAAGGUUCUCCUGUCUGGAAGUACUGGACAAACUGAGGUUAUUUUAAUGUGCCAAAAGUUGAAGUUAGAGGUGGUUUGACAAUCAUUUUUUCCCUUAGAAAGUUCCUCCAAAUCAUGCAG